rnacentral:tRNA from 1 species
CGGGAUUUAGCGCAGUUGGUAGCGCACUACGUUCGGGACGUAGGGGUCGCUGGUUCGAAUCUAGUCAUCCCGA